rnacentral:lncRNA from 1 species
AUACACACCCUAACAAUGGUCAAAAGUAGUGUGCUGGUGUAUCAUGUUGCCUAGCUAGCUACAUAUUCAUAUUUUGUGGUUGCGAACUGGCUUAUGGGAUUGAGGCAACACAAAAAAUGGUGAGUUUUUCAGGCAACACUCAUGUGUGCCGAUCAAUUAAGAGUUCAAAAUCGUGAAAAUAUAAUGUACGUACUACGUAUACCAGUUCAAUAAAUCUUUUUUACUUUAUACAAGACCAACGUGCUUUGUCUUGUUAUUUGAUUGACUAAAGUUGUUAUCGUUUGCUAAUAUAUAUUUGUGACCUCAGCUUAUCAAGAAAUAUGAUUUAAUAAUAAUAGUUUUGUUGUCCUUUUGGCUCUCUUAAUUUGAUUCUAAACAUUAAAAUUUGAUUUCACUUUCCUGCCUGCUUCCUGCUUCUGCAUGCAUACAAUAUUGCUAAGUUUUGCAUUUUGGACAUAUGGAAUGUUUUGUAACUCAACUUUUGUCCUUGAAUUACGUUGUUUUGUGGAUGCACGGGAUCGGUGGUUAGAGAUCUCGUCUUGAUCGCUGUCAUGCAAAUAGUACAUACGUAAUACAAAGAUUAGGCAGAGGUAACUUUGUGUAAUUUCUGGUGCCGCUCUAUGCUGUGCGCAGGUGUGCGCAUCGCCUGCGCGUAACGUCUUGGAGAUGAAAUCCCAGCCUUCCACCUCUAAGGCCUUAAAACCAACGGAUGUGAUGAGUGUUAAAUCCCUUGUACGCAACCCAUGCGCAGGGGAGAAAUUCAGCCGACACUGUUUUCUCACCCUGAUCGAAUGGACUUAUAGCAGCUUCAAUAUACCCACCACAGGCCUAAGUUUGUAGAUAAAAUCACCACUAAGAAUUUGGGCCGAUUCUGAAAUAUCGAAGCCCAAACUUAGAAGAGAUUUUAAAACGGGAUUUGAGAUUUUUCGUCACCAGACUUGACCCAGCGAAGCUGGCAACGAAUACAGUACACACCCACCCACGCCCACCUAGGAAAUCCCUUAAUCUUAACGCACAAAACCCUUUGGGAAAUUGACAUUUUGAGAAAAACAUUUUGAAAAGCUUCCUGGCUCAGAAAAUGAUAAAACCAUGCAACCCAUAACCAUAUUUUAUUGUGUUAGUGCUUUGUACAAAGGAUUAAUCACCGGUGUUUAUAUAACACAUGAAAGUAACAUAUUCCUGCUCAUCUAUCUCAUUUGUAGAAGAGAUGUAAACGUUUCUAUUCGACUUUUAAUAGAUUUCUCUUCCCAUUGAGUAGAGAAACGUAAAGAGUGAGGUUCUCAUUUUGAUCCCGUUAAAAUUUGAAUGGUGUUGUUGUGUCCCAUAUAUUGGUCCCAUUGAGUACAGAAAUGUCUACAUGAUUCUAUCACAAGCAAAUAACAUGCCAUGUAUCUUGAGAAUUAUGAUAGCAGAAAUAAGCCUUAGAAAGUAAGCAUCUAAGGUCACUUCAGUCUGUGAAGGUCAGGGCCGGCCUUACGGGUAGCCAGGUAAGGCAAUCGCCUAAUUCCCCCAACUUCUAGGGGCCCCCAAAUUUUUUAUAUGUAUGUAUUAGUAUAUAAAUACUUUUAAAGUAAGACGGAUAACACAAAAAACUUGGUGGCGUAGUGGAAAGGAAAGCAUUUAUUUGGUUACCAUCUCCUGUUCAAAACAUGAUGAAGACUCCCCAAACAAGUAUUGUUUUUCCAAAUAUAAUUAGAAAGCCUAAUCUAAUAACAAUUUAGAUUAUGUAAACUCAAUUAGUACAUAUGCAUCUAAAAAUGCGAGACGGAUUCUCUAAUAUUUAUAUAUCUUUCUUGUUUUAGUAUUAAUUUUUAAUAGUAUUUGAUGUAGAAAUACAUUUUUUUUUCAUGUAUUAGCGAAUUAUUUAUUCUACAUAUCAAUGUACAAAGAGUCGGGGGUUCGAUAAUUCUAGAGCCCCACUUUUAAAGCUCGCCUAGAGCCUUCAAAUUCUCAAGCUGGCCUUGGUGAUGGUGCCAAUUGGCCUUUCCUAUAGCUUGAAUGGAAACUGAAGUUACAACCAUACACUUGUUUUGUACCUCCUGUCAUUCUCAUAUUGGAGUGACUCCCAAAUGGUUUCGUAGCAUACAAAAGGAAACUGGACUUUUUCACUUCGAUUUCUUAAAACUCAUUUAGCUAUGAUCUAACCGAUGAUGUUAUUCAAAUCACAUCAUCGACCUUGUUUCCAUCUGAUGUCCUAUCCUACAUAUAUUGAUUAUAAAUUUAAAAAGAGAGGGGGAGAGUCCAAGAGAGAGAGAGAGAGGGACAAUAGGAAAAAUGGGGAAGGGUCCCUUCCCUUCUCUUUCAAGCGCAUUACUAUUGAGUACGAUGCAAGAUUUCUAAGAACUUCACCAACUUUGUAAGACUAAUGAGAGAAGAUUUCAUAGUUCAAUUCUAAUGGUACAAAACUGUUCUCUACGCCCAGAGAGAAUUCCAAAAACAUAUAAUAGAGAACUGAGAAGCAGAAAAUACCUGUUUCACGUUACAUUUUCAGUGUGAUGAGCUUUGUCAGUAAACUAAACAGCCCAACAUCUAAAGCAGUAACUAACUCAGAUGAACUUCUAGACUCUAACCAUGACUUGACUGCAACUUUUGUUGUAAAAAACCAGCCAGCCUUGUCUAAGGCCUCAUGGAAUGGAUCAUUCAAUUCCUUCAAAUGCGACUAAAAUACACCCGCCAGACCUUUGUCUGAAUACUUAUAUUUCCCAUAUCCAGUAUUAAUUCCAAGCAACGGCAGAAGCUCCUCACCGGAUUCCAAUACCCGAGAUAGGUCAUUAAUCCAAACAUGUAAUGCAGUCAGAGCUGCCCCAAGAGAGAGGCCAUUGAGAUACAAAGACCACUGGGUCUGCGACCUUGACUGUAAGCCUAUAUAUAUCUGAAGUGUGAUCCCCAAGUCUAGUAGCUCACAGGCUCUCUCCAAGAGAUUGAGGUUCACACAAAGAUCAAUCAGGCAAUUGGAGUAAGCCUUCUUUACAUCCGAACCAAUCGAGUUAAAAAGUUGUGAAUCUUCGUUGUUGAACUUUUCACUACUUUCUUGCUUCUCCACUAAAAGUUUUAACACAUACCCUAGUUUUUCAUCAGCCCUCUCAAUGCAAUUCACAAGCUUGCAAAGUUCUUCCUUUGGUGUUUAAGUCAUCACAUUCAGGAGACAACCACAGAAACGCUCAUCUGGUGUUAUACCCAAUUCUAGGAGUUGAUUGAAUAUCUUGACAACGUCAUCAGUACGUUUUGCUUUACCCUAGCAUUGGAUGAGUGAUGUCAAAAUAAAGAUAUUUGGCUCAAAACCAACUUCCAACAUCUCAUUCAAUGUUGCUUCUGCCUCUAUGACUUUCCACACUACAAGAAUACAUGGUAAUCAUGGACGAAAAGGUCCAACUGUCAGGCUUCAGUGUUUCAAUACUCUUCAUUUCUUAAAAAAUCUCAAUGGCUUCGUCGGUGUAAACAACAUCAGCACACAUAGCUAAAAGGGUGUUAUAGAGAAUUACAUUUAACUCCAAUCCCUUUUCCUUCAUCUCUUUAUAAACAUUAAGAGCAUCAUCACAGUAACGAGCUAUACCAUAGGCCCUUAAAAGAGUUGCAUAGGUUACCCAAUUUGGUGAAAGCUCCUUGCUUAUCAUCUGUCGGUAAAUUUUCUUGGCCUGCCAAGGUCUCCUAGCUCUUCCCAUAGCAUCCAACAAAGUGUUAUAAAUAACCAAGUUUGGCUUAGCCCCUAUAGCUUUCAGUUCCUCAUAAACAUUCAAGCACCCAUCAAAAUUCCCCGAUUGCCCGUGAAUUUUGAUGAACGUAGAAAACGUCACUGGAUCAAUGCGCCGCUUCUCAGUCCUGGCCCGGUCAUACAAACUGAAAGCCAUUUCUACCUUACCCACACGUCCAUAGGCGUCAAUCAUAGCCGAAUAGGUAACAUCAUCCGGAUUACACCCAAAACCGGGAAUCUUCUCAAACCACUCCACAGCCUUAUCAAGCAAAGAACACAUCAAAGAGCAACUAAUCAUAGUCGAAAAGGUAACAUUAUCGGGGUUAACACCUCUCUGAAGUAUUUCGUCGAACAGCUUCUCUGCUCUCUCCAUAUCCUUACCCUUCCUACACACUUUCAAAGUCACAUUAUCCAAAAUCACCUCCCGCUUCGGUUUCAACCUCUGCUGAAAGUAGUUAAGCGCAAGCAAAGCAUUUUCCGGAUUGUUCAUGCUAUUCAGAACCACCACAGCGUUUGGUUCCAAAAUAUAAUCCCCUAGACCUUUUAAAGCUUCGAAAACAUCACUUUCAAUCGGAGUGCAAGAGUUCAAAUACUCAGCUACUUUCACCAAAGAAGCUUACCUGGAAUCGUAGGACUUGUGCCGCAGCUGUGAAGUUCUGGGGCUGCUGGGAUUGACCCAGAUAUAGCUUUUCGAGAAAGACCCGGAAUUUCCAUCUGGCCUCUGAAUAUUUCCAAUUUCUGGAGCUUUGGAGUUCUGGGCUUCUUCUGCAACUGGGUCUUGCAAAGAAACAUGGUGUAUUUGCAGAGAGGUUCUUGACUGAAAUUGCAGUGAAGGAAAACUGAGUCUGUGGGUGUUAAUUGCAAGGCUUAGGAGUCGGAAAUUAGUCGGGGAAGAAGAAGAAGGGAGAGAGCGGGGGGAGUUUGGGGGUUGCGGAAGAGAAAGGAGGGUGAGGAGCACAAGUGAUAAGCCAUUUUCCUCACCCUGUGGGGGAUUAUGAAAGGUGCAUUUCUUUUGCUUUGCAUUCACAGGACAAAUAUCUUUUUGAACUUGUGUCGGGCCUGGAAGUGAUUUUACGGCUUCGGAAGAUGUUCGAAGCCCAACUUGAAUUUCCAAGAGCUUUAUGAUCAGAUAAAAAGUUUAUUAAAAUAGGCAUUGUUUUGUAUAAGCAUUAAGGAAAAUGUUAUGAUUAAGCUUUUUCAUAGCAGUUUUAUCAUCGUUUUGUAGGUCCAGAUGUUCAAAAGCUUACGUGUAGGAAAGAUGAGUUUAAUAUAAAGAAAUCACAAACCAUAACAAAAUUGUGAGUGUUAGCUCAUAAAUUUUGUAGAAAAUGCAACAAUUGAUGUCAUUUAAGGUGUUCAGAAGCAUUCUUAUCGUAAUAGAAAAUUAAGAAUAAAAUCACCUCCACAUCCAAAUCUCCUUAAUGUCCCAUAAGAAUUUUAAGAUUCUUACGGUUAAAAUUUGACACAAAUAUAGGUUAUAUAUAUAUAUAUAUAUAUUUUAGGUUAUAUAUAGUUCUUGGCAAAAAAUCUAUAAAUCAAUAAAACACCGUAAAUAUUAGCUCACGAGAAAAUAUUAAAUUAACUAUUGAGCAUAAGAAUAUGUUGCAGAGGUAGAAAAAUGUUACGAGCCGUUAGGAAAUGGUGGGUUUUUGUAGGGUAUCAGCCGGAAUACAAACAUGGUGUUGGAUUAGUAGACACGUGGGGUUUUGGCUUUUGCUUAUUUUUGUAUAAACAUAUCAAUUAAUUCUCGAACAAACAAAAGGAGAAUGGAAUGAAAAGCAGGCAUAGGAGUAGUUCUUGUUUCUGGGAACACAUUAUUAUACACGUAUCUAGGUUGCUGCUGCCGCUCUCUCUCUCUCUCUCUCUCUCUCUCUCUCUCUCUCUCUCUCUCUCUCGUCGACAUUUGGAGGGGCCGAGGGAUCAAGGAUUUGUUUAAUUUAGAGUAAUGUUAAGAAAACAAAAUUUAUAAAUAAAAUUUACAAAUUAAAUGAUGUGUCGCUAAUAAGAAAUUAACACAUUUAUAAACGUUUAAGUAAUAAUCAAAUCAUCAACUUUCAUGUCAUUUAGUUAAUAAAAUUUAGUCUACAAAUUUAGUCUUCUUAAUAUUACUCUUUAGUUUAUGGUAGAAUCUAACUAUGUGGGGCUGAAAAUGAUAUAGUUGAGCAUUGUUAGACGAGAAAUGGUAGCUAAAUUUCAUUCUUUAGUUUACUCAUAUGAGCCCUGGGAGGCCAAGGAACACAUUAUCUUGAUCAAAUAGUGUAACUCAUAUAAGCUUCAGAAGAUAAGAGAUUGCUUCGGGAUGGGUUUUUGUUUUUGUAAAGAAAGAAAAAAAUAUAGUUUAGAUUAGAACAUGCUGGUAGGAGAGAAAAAUGGUUAGCUUUUGGAAAUAUAGGUAAAUAUAGAAAAAUAAUAAUGAGUUUUUUUAAAAGAAAUCAAAAUUUUGUUUGUGUUAAUAGAGUUCAUGUUACAUUUAAUAAAUGAGAAAGAUACGUAGCUAGAUUCUUCUGUUCACACCUCCUCAAUUCCACUCUUGACCAAUAAGAACGCACGCGCACGCACUGUGCAGGACAAAGAAGGGAAUGUGGAAUGGAAACUUUUAUUGCAUUGAAAAUUGUAGCAGCCACCAACUUCAUCUUCAUCUUCAUCUUCAUGAUGAGAUGUAUCUCUCUCUCUAUAGUCUAUACUAAUGAUAUAAGAACAGAUUAACGUGAUUGUGACUUGACAACCACCAAGAUCAACGACCAACUUUAUUAUUCACUUAACAAUAUAUGACCCUCCUAUAAUAUUAAUAUCGAACACUGCUAAAAUAUUAUCCCGAGAUUGAAGAAGUUAUCACGGUCCAACAAGAUGAUCGAUGAUUUACAUGACUGUGCAAGCUGAGGGAUUUUCUUCACUGAAACAGUCAGGGCGGGUAACGCAAUACCCCCUGUUGCCACCACCGUAACUGUCAUACACAGGCCUCCCAUAGUAACCAUCAUACUGGAUGUACGAGGCUAGCCCCCCGCUAUAACCACUGUGGCACGGCCCAGCUGCAUGCCCCUGGUAACAAUCCAUACAACACGCUUGGACAUGCGAUGAGGGUCCAGGAUUUAGCAGGCCAACUUUAGGUUUACCGUCAUCUUUAGGCGUACUGUCAUCUUUAGGCUUACCGUCACCUUUAGGCUUGCCGUCAUCUUUAGGCUUACCUUCAUCUUUAGGCUUACUGUCAGCUUUAGGCUUGCCUUCAUCUUUAGGCUUACCGUCAGCUUUAGGCUUGCCAUCAUCUUUGGGUGCUUUGGGCUUGCCGUCAUCUUUGGGUGCCUUGGGCUUCUCGGGCUCUUUGAUCUCAAUGCUUUUGAUGGCACUCCCACCUUUGCAGCAAAUCUUGUCCCUCAUCUUUUCUGGACUGCAGCAUACCACUUUGAUAACCACUUGGUUUUGCUUCUCGUCGUAUAUCUGGUCUCGUAUUUCUCUUGUUCACAAACACACAUUAAUUUACUCAGUUUACAUUUAAUCUAAAUUAAUCUUAUUUUCCCAAAAAGAAAGAACUUUAACUUUGGUAUUUCAUCAAAUAACCAUAUAGAUGAAUCAAGGAGAAAAGAGACUCACGUGGGAAUUUACAAAGAACUUUUUUAACCUUCUUGUAGCAUUUGUGACACUGAAGAUCUACCUUCAGCACCAUAAUCGUAACCUGAAUUAUCCAUUUUUAAUAUUAAUAGAAAAAAUAUGUGCAUUAACCAAAGAUUGACAAGAAUGAAUCUUCAGAAAAUAUAUAAAUAUACAGAAGAUUGUUGUGCAAAAGUGUAGACAAAAAGAAGUGGAACAGUGCUGCUGGACAAUCAGGGUUCUAACUGACUGACAGGGAAGAAUCAUGGUGAAAGUAUGUGGCCAAAUCUGUAACACAGAGAGAGAGAGAGAGAGAGAGAGAGAGAGAGAGAGAGAGAGAGAGAGGCAAAAAGCAACAAAAUAGCACAGAGGAAGGGACUUGGAGACUUAUUAGGAUAUAAAAAAAAAAGAACAGGAACCACAAAACUUAAACAAGAGCUUAAAGCCUUUUAGUUUUAGCCAUACAAUCAUCAUUUGGGUUAUCUACUUAUCCUUGGAAGAAGAAAAUGAAGAGAACACAAACUAUACCAAAUAUUACGUACCUUUUCCUUUUCCCCCAUUGCAGUGAGUAGUGGAUGCUCUCAGGCUCAGAUCUGGACGAGAACUUCUCAACUAAAAUGAUUGAAUGGGACAAAAACUUUAACGAAAUCAACUUUUAUAAUUAUAUAUGCAUAUUUAUACAAAAAUAUAUAAAAAUAGGAAUACAAUUCGGUGGAACAAAACAGAGAGAGAGAGAGAGAGAGAGAGAGAGAGAGAAGGAGAGAGCAAUAUUUGAUUAAAGUGGCUUAUUAAAAAAAAAUAUGACAAAUUGCUUGUUAAGAAAGAGUGAAAAAGAAAGAGGGAGAGAGCGCACAAUAGUUCGUACAUAGGGCGAAUGGGCUGCGAACACGUUGAUAUCGGUAGGUUGAUCCCACGCUAUGGUGGACAAAAGUUUCAUUGUAACUGUAAUACGGAUAAUACAACAUGUGUCAGUGAUGGAAAAUUUUAAUUUUUAAGUUAUUAAUUUUUUAACACAAGUAGCUCAUUAUUUUUAUAAUAACAUGUGAUGUAACAUUCUAUAUUUUGGACACACUAAAAGUUAUGUCAUUAUAAUAAUUGAGAGUUGUCGUUAUAGAGGCAGAUUGUCUACCCUCCUGUUUGGGUGCCCAUCUCAUCCUCACAUAUUUUGUGCGGUCAUGGUUAAACCACGUUUACAUUUUAUAUGCUCAUUAUUUUUUGUCUUAUUAUCUUUAUAAAAAAAAUUAAUAUAAAAUAUUGACGUGCCUUAACUGUAACCGUACAGAUAGAAGAUGAUGAAAAAAACACCUAAACAGGAGGCAGACAAUACGCCUCCUCGUUAUACGAAGAUAGGUGACUUCCUGAUGAUCGCUAAAAGUUGAAAUUUCUUGCACAUGCAUGUGCUGGCUUUGAUUCACCCACCUCACCUUCCAUACUUUCCAACUUCCUGCUAAUAUUAUUAUAAGUAAAUGAUUAAUUAUCAAAAUAAAAUUACAUCCUAAGUUAAUUAUAAUUAUUAAAGUUCACAUAGAGUUUGGUGGAGAGGAGAGAUGCCAAUAUUAUUUCAAGAUCGUCAAAUUAAUGGAGAAAAAACUAUAUUGUAGGGUCGAUAGUUUGGUCAAGUGCAAUUAUGGAUCAUGCACCCCCACAUGGCACAUGGAAAUUCCUCCAGUUGUCCCUACAUCUUAAGUAACAACAGGUGCCACCCAUCUUUGACUAGCUACUUGAAGUUUGGUUUGUUAAUCCAAACCGGUGAAGAAACGUCUGGUAAUUAGGUUGGAGUAGGAUUCUUUAUCCUUUUAUUUCCAUUCUUUUUUCUUCCCUUCUCUUACAUGUUACUUUUUGUCUUAUUGUUUUUAUAAAAAAAAUCAAUAUAAAAUGUUGACGUAACUAAACCAUAAUCAUUCAAAUAAAAGAAGAGGGAAAAAAAGAGAGAUUAAGAGGAAAGCGAAUCCUCUUCCAAUUAGGAUAACGAUUUUCAUUCAAUUGAUAUGGCAUCAUUUUAGAACCACACGUACAUACAUGCUGCAUCAUAAACCCUAUUACCUGCAAUGUACCGGACAGAGAAUGGAUGAUCAAAAUCCAAAAAGCGUGGGCUCCAGAUGACAAGAGCGUGGCUGAGGUUCAAAUGUCCCAAUUUCAUAGAGGUGGGUUGCUCACACAAUAGUGGUUGAUCAAUCCGAUUUGAUCUUUUCUUCUUGUACGUAAGUGCAUCACAGCUCAUUCAUUUGUACGUAAGACUUGAUAUGUUUCGUUUUGAUACAACCGACAAGAAAAUGAGGAUGAGAUUAGUGGACAUUAGGUGCAACGAUAUUUAAAUUAAUUAGUCGUUCACUUAAUUAUCUUUGUUUCAAGACUAGAAGUAGUACACUACACACCCUAACAAUGGUCAAAAGUGGGGAGUAUGAUUCUCUACCCUUCCAUGUCCUUCUAUUUGAACGGUCACGGUUAAGUCAUGUCCUCCUAUUUGAAUGGUUAAAUAUGAUUUAAUAAUAAUAGUUUUGUUGUCCUUUGGCUCUCUUGAUUUGAUUCUAUACAUUAAAAAUUGAUUUCACUUUCCUGCCUGCUUCCUGCUUCUGCAUACAUACAAUAUGGCUAAGCUUUGCAUUUUGGACAUAUCGAAUGUUUUUUAACUCAACUUUUGUCUUUGAAUUACGUUGUUUUGUGGAUGCACGGGAUCGGUGGUUAGAUAUCUCGUCUUGAACGCUGUCGUGCAAAUAGUACAUACGUAAUACAAAGAUUAGGCAGAGGUAACUUUGCGUAAUUUCUGGUGCCG